AGUGAACGCUGGCGGUAGGCCUAACACAUGCAAGUCGAACGGCAGCACAGUAAGAGCUUGCUCUUACGGGUGGCGAGUGGCGGACGGGUGAGGAAUACAUCGGAAUCUACUUUUUCGUGGGGGAUAACGUAGGGAAACUUACGCUAAUACCGCAUACGACCUACGGGUGAAAGCAGGGGAUCUUCGGACCUUUCGCGAUUGAAUGAGCCGAUGUCGGAUUAGCUAGUUGGCGGGGUAAAGGCCCACCAAGGCGACGAUCCGUAGCUGGUCUGAGAGGAUGAUCGGCCACACUGGAACUGAGACACGGUCCAGACUCCUACGGGAGGCAGCAGUGGGGAAUAUUGGGCAAUGGGCGCAAGCCUGACCCAGCCAGACCGCGUGAGUGAAGAAGGCCUUCGGGUCGUAAAGCCCUUUUGUUGGGAAAGAAAAGCUGUAGGUUAAGACCCCGCUGUUCUGACGGUACCCAAUGAAUAAGCACCGGCUAACUACGUG
rnacentral:rRNA from 1 species